rnacentral:piRNA from 1 species
UGAAAAUAUCCAGCACUCCACCUUCAGGGA